rnacentral:rRNA from 1 species
UGGGGAAUUUUUGGCAAUGGGGGCAACCCUGACCAAGCAACGCCGCGUGGGUGAUGAAGUCUCUUGGGACGUAAAACCCUUUCGACAGGGAAGAAACCGCAAGGUUGACGGUACCUGUASAAGAAGCCCCGGCUAACUCCGUG